UAGGGAAUCUUCGGCAAUGGACGGAAGUCUGACCUAGCAACGCCGCGUGAGUGAAGAAGGUUUUCGGAUCGUAAAGCUCUGUUGUAAGAGAAGAACGAGUGCGAGAGUGGAAAGUUCACACUGUGACGGUAUCUUACCAGAAAGGGACGGCUAACUACGUGCCAGCAGCCGCGGUAAUACGUAGGUCCCGAGCGUUGUCCGGAUUUAUUGGGCGUAAAGCGAGCGCAGGCGGUUAGAUAAGUCUGAAGUUAAAGGCUGUGGCUUAACCAUAGUACGCUUUGGAAACUGUUUAACUUGAGUGCAAGAGGGGAGAGUGGAAUUCCAUGUGUAGCGGUGAAAUGCGUAGAUAUAUGGAGGAACACCGGUGGCGAAAGCGGCUCUCUGGCUUGUAACUGACGCUGAGGCUCGAAAGCGUGGGGAGCAAACAGGAUUAGAUACCCUGGUAGUCCACGCCGUAAACGAUGAGUGCUAGGUGUUAGACCCUCUCCGGGGUUUAGUGCCGUAGCUAACGCAUUAAGCACUCCGCCUGGGGAGUACGACCGCAAGGUCG
rnacentral:rRNA from 1 species